UCUUCCCCUCGAAGUCUAUCCUUGAUAUGUUCAUCCUAAUCAGUGACAUAUAUCCUCUUUGUGGUAUUCUAUCCAGCAUUCGAUAGAUGUAAUUCCUACUUUGUUCAAGAGGUUUAUCCUUAAUAUGUUCAUCUUAACCGAUGACGGGUAUCCUCCUUAACAUCCCCAGGCAAAUCUAUCCUUGAUAUAUUCAUCUUAACUGAUGACAAAAUU
rnacentral:lncRNA from 1 species